UCUCUGUCAUAAUCCUUUAUAGUUUCCUCUUCUACAAAUUUACUGAGAGAUUGCUUCAGGUCUAUGACAACAAGAAGAAAAUGAUUUAUCAACAGAACACAUCAGUAAUCACCCAGGAAACCUAGCAAGCUGUAAGAUACUUGUGAACAAGGAUACACGAGAUUAAUUUAAGAAAUCAAUUCAUACCAUUUUCUAUAAAGCAUGGCAGGUUGUGCAGAACCAUCAGACGUCCAUGCAAAUGACUGAUAUUCUCUUGUACAGGGAAUUUGAGAGGCACG